rnacentral:lncRNA from 1 species
GCCUUAACAAAGAACCACAGGGCAUUUGGGUAAAGAAAAGCUACACUUAGCAUUCCAGGCAAGGUUGUGGCAAAGGUAUAACUUGACAUGACAUCACUUAGCACAAAUAUUGGGGAAUAACAUGCUGGGUCUGGCUUAGUUUGGGUUUGGCUUAUUUACUGUUCCUCUGUCCCUUAAGAAUGUUGUUAUUCUCCUUUUCUUUUCCCUUCUCUUUUCAUUUCAGAAGGAGAAACCAACUCCAAGUUCUUAUUGGAAUAUUUACAGGGUACUGGAGGGGCUCACAGUAUUAAGGAGAAGACUCCGGCAGCCUCUGAAAGAAAGAAAACUAGGGAAGCUCUGGAAACACCAAUAAACGACCUCUGUCUAGGACGCUGCUGGUGGAUGACUCAAUGUGAUGGUUCAUUUCAUGUGUCAGCUUGGAUGGGCUAUAGGGUGCAGGUAUUGGGUCAAACAUUAUUCUAGAUGUAUCUGUGAAGCUCUAUUUUAGAUGAGAUAGACACUGAAAUGGGUGAACUUUGAGUAAAGAAGAGCACUCGCUAUAAUGUGG